CUGUGAUGAGUAAAGUGUAACAAUAUGUUUAUGAUUUCUCUUUAGGAAUUUUUCAGAUAGAAACUAAUUGCAGAGUUCCCGGUUGACCAGCAUUCAUAGGAAUGAAGACAAACACAGAGAUGGUGUGUCUAAGAAAUUUCAAAAGGUGUCGGCCUCCUGAUUGAAGGACAGUCAACUUAUUGGAUUCAUUUUUUUCAUCCAUUCCAGUCUGGCGACCAC